rnacentral:lncRNA from 1 species
UUUCUCAAAGGACUUUUGUUUGGAACACUUGCAGGGUGCACACACAGAGGAGCUAGGGGAAUCAGAUGUGGGCCUUUCAACAGAGCCUGCCCUACACAAGGAAAACCCUCCAGAAUACACCUGCAGAGGUUUCCACUGUGGAGAGUUGUGUCUCUUUAGCUGUAUGCUAACUAGAACAAAACAAACAAACAAACAAAAAGACAAAGGGGAAAAAGCCGCCCCCGCACUCCCCCAACCCCAAGUUGAUAGGUAGAGAUAGGGAACCAGAGAUUCAAGGAUUAUAUCGUAAGUUUGAUGUAUUGUAAGUUUGAGGCUGUCCCAGGCUUCAUAGGACCCUUCCUGAAACAAAACAAAUG